UAAUACGAGAGGCCCAAACGUUAUUCGGAUUUACUGGGCUUAAAGAGUUCGUAGGCGGCGUGGAAAGUGGGGUGUGAAAGCCCUCGGCUCAACCGAGGAACUGCGCUCCAAACUAUCACGCUAGAGGGGGAUAGAGGUAAGCGGAACUGAUGGUGGAGCGGUGAAAUGCGUUGAUAUCAUCAGGAACACCGGAGGCGAAGGCGGCUUACUGGGUCCUUUCUGACGCUGAGGAACGAAAGCUAGGGGAGCAAACGGG
rnacentral:rRNA from 1 species